rnacentral:rRNA from 1 species
GACGAACGCUGGCGGCGUGCUUAACACAUGCAAGUCGAACGGAAAGGCCCUGCUUUUGUGGGGUGCUCGAGUGGCGAACGGGUGAGUAACACGUGAGUAACCUGCCCUUUACUUUGGGAUAACUUCAGGAAACUGUGGCUAAUACCGGAUAGGAGCUCCUGCUGCAUGGUGGGGGUUGGAAAGUUUCGGCGGUUGGGGAUGGACUCGCGGCUUAUCAGCUUUUUGGUGGGGUAGUGGUUUACCAAGGCUUUGACGGGUAGCCGGCCUGAGAGGGUGACCGGCCACAUUGGGACUGAGAUACGGCCCAGACUCCUACGGGAGGCAGCAGUGGAGAAUAUUGCACAAUGGGCGGAAGCCUGAUGCAGCAACGCCGCGUGCGGGAUGACGGCCUUCGGGUUGUAAACCGCUUUCGCCUGUGACGAAGCGUGAGUGACGGUAAUGGGUAAAGAAGCACCGGCUAACUACGUG